UUUCGCAAUGCCCGAAAGGGUGACGAAGCGACGCCGCGUGGGUGAGGAAGGCCUUCGGGUUGUAAAGCCCUGUCAGGAGUUAAGAAAUGUAGGUACGCUAAUAUCGUAUCUAUUUGACAAAGGCUCCAAAGGAAGCCACGGCUAACUCUGUGCCAGCAGCCGCGGUAAUACAGAGGUGGCAAGCGUUGUUCGGAAUUAUUGGGCGUAAAGAGCACGUAGGUGGAUUUGUAAGUCAGAUGUGAAAGCCUUCUGUUCAACGGGAGAAUUGCAUCUGAAACUACAAACCUUGAGUAUAGGAGGGGAGAAUGGAACUUCUGGUGGAGCGGUGAAAUGCGUAGAUAUCAGAAGGAACGCCGGCGGCGAAAGCGAUUCUCUGGCCUAUUACUGACACUCAGUGUGCGAAAGCUAGGGGAGCAAACGGGAUUAGAUACCCCGGUAGUCCUAGCCGUAAACGAUGGGCACUAAGUAGAGGGGUUUUA
rnacentral:rRNA from 1 species